AUACUUGAUAUGGAAUCCUGAUUUGGACCAACUUGAAAACUGGGCCCAUAAUCAAAAAUCAAAGUACAUGUUUAGAUAAAGCAUAUCAAAUAAGCUCAAGAAUUUAAUUUUUGUUAAAAUCAAACUUAGUUUAAUUUUGGACCCUUUGGACCUUAAUGUAGACCAAUUUGAAAACUGGACCAAAAAUUAAGAAUCUACAUACACAGUUAGAUUUAGCAUAUCAAAGAACCCAUUUAUUCAAUUUUUGAUGAACUCAAACAAAGUUUAAUUUUGGACCCCCAUUUGGACCAACUUGAAAACUAGGCUAAUAAUUAAAAAUCUAAGUACAUUUUUAAAUUCAGCAUAUCAAAGAACCCCAAAGAUUCAAUUUUUGUUAAAAUCAAACUAAGUUUAAUUUUGGACCCUUUGGACCUUAAUGUAGACCAAUUUGAAAACGGGACCAAAAAUUAAGAAUAUACAUACAUAGUUAGAUUCGGCAUAUCAAAGAACCCCAAUUAUUCAAUUUUUAAUGAAAUCACACAAAGAUCAAUUUUGGACCCUUUGGGCCCCUUAUUCCUAAACUGUUGGGACCAAAACUCCCAAAAUCAAACCCAACCUUCCUUUUAUGGUCAUAAACCUUGUGUUUAAAUUUCAUAGAUUUCUAUUUACUUAUACUAAAGUUAUGGUGCAAAAACCAAAAAUAAUGCUUAUUUGGGCCCCUUUUUGGCCCCUAAUUCAUAAACUGUUGUGACCUCAACUCCAAAAAUCAAUCCCAACCUUCCUUUUGUAGUCAUAAACCUUGUGUUUAAAUUUCAUUGAUUUCUAUUUACUUAUACUAAAGUUAUUGUGCGAAAACCAAGAAUAAUGCUUAUUUGGGCCCUUUUUUGGCCCUUAAUUCCUAAACUGUUGGAACCAAAACUCCCAAAAUCAAUCUCAACCGUCCUUUUGUGGUCAUAAACCUUGUGUCAAAAUUUCAUAGAUUUCUAUUCACUUAAACUAAAGUUAUAGUGCGAAAACCAAGAAAAUGCUUAUUUGGGCCCUUUUUGGCCCCUAAUUCCUAAAAUAUUGGGACCAAUACUCCCAAAAUCAAUCCCAACCUUCCUUUUGUGGUUAUAAACCUUGUGUUAAAAUUUCAUUGAUUUCUAAUCACUUUUACUAAAGUUAGAGUGUGAAAACUAAAAGUAUUCGGACGACGACGCAGACGACGACAACGACGACGCCAAAGUGAUAGCAAUAUACGACCAAAAAAUUAAAAUUUUUGCGGUCGUAUAAAAAUGAAUACUAGUAUUAAAGUUGUAUGACAAAUCAAGCUACAACAAUGACACAAAUAAAAAAAGUUGUUUCCACUUAAAAGUACUUAACUUUCACAUUUGUAUAUACAUUUUCAAUACAUAUAAAGCAGGGUGGCCAAGAAUAAUAUUACAGAAUGUCCUACGUAAAACAUGGGGGUAUUUAUAUAUCCUGAAAACAAAACAUUUCUUACAAUUCAUAAAAAUAUAAAAUCACUACAAUUUUGUAAAUCCUUACAUUACAUUACAAAUGGGGGGGAGGGAUGAAUAAUGUACUAAAUAGUGUAUGUAAACACAAUUGGUCCUAAUUGUUAUUCACAAAUGAAUGUUUUGCUUAAUUUUAUUUUCAUAAAACAAUUUUUUUAUUUUUGACAUGAAUACUAUCCACAGGUUCAGGUUCAGUACUUUUUCUCAAUAGAUUCAGCAAUGUUUGUUUAUUUAAGAAAAGCAAUUAUAUGUAUCUAAAACAUAUACUUUAUCAGUUAUGUAGAAACCCAAAUUACAAUCUGUUGGAAAAGAUGAAAAGGGUACUGUAAAUUCAGACUUUAGAGAAUGUUGAUUUAUCUUUGAAGGAAUUAAUUGCAUAAUUUCGUGUGAUCCCAAAAAGGCAAAGAUGUAGGUAUUAUAUGUGUAUCAUUUCAGUAAAGUUAUGUUUAUUUUGUCAACUGUUUGAAUUGAGAUAUACUAUUUGCAUUUUAGUAAUUCUUAUAAAUGCACGAAACAUGUCAUAUUAGAAUAUACAAAUCUUUACUAUUUUGCUUUCUUUGGUUACCUUAAUGCAAAAAGUAUUAAAUGUCACAAGAUCUCUCAUCCUGCUUUAAUCUUCAUAAUUGAAUUGUGAAAAAAAACCCAGCUUUAAUAUGGUAAAAUCAACAUGUUAUGAACAAAAACUUAGCCCUACUGAUAUAAAUACAUCUUUACUGUCAAGGUCCUAUACACAAACAAACUUUAUUAUAUUGCACCAGACCCUAUUCAGGAUAUUUCACCAAAGAUUGUUUUCAAGCAGUUUGGAACCUACAAAAGCAACAUAAAAGCCCAUACCGCAUAGUCAGCUAUAAAGGACCUGGAAAGGACAAAUGUAAAACAUUUCUUACAAAAAAAUUAACAGCCUAAUUUAUGUACAAAUAAAUUGCCUCACUGGGUGCAGCUAGAUACGACCGCAGAUGUCCAACCUUGAAAAGUUCUGGUCAAAAUGGACACAAUAUUCACGCUUGAUACAGGUGUGAAUUUGGAUUGUAAUUAAAUAUUUGACACAUGAUAGGUUUCUGACACCGAAUUACUGUAGUCAAAGAACUUAAAAUUGGUUAUAUGAUUUUGGUUAUAUUUUUUGCUUUUGUGCAAUACACCAUGUUCACUAUGCUGGAGAAAUUUUUCACCUCCACUUUUCCCUUAUUCCAAAAACAUUCUUUCCCGCAAGAUAUGGUUAUAAUCUCAAUUAAAAUUUCUAAUGCAGUUUGCAACUGUAGUUUCCAAUUUCAUUACAUCAUAAAAGUCUUAAAAUAUUAAAUGACAUAGAUACUCAUGGCUAAAAUUAAUAUCAAUAUUAUAUUUAGUAAUAUCUAAGAAUAAAACUCCUUUGUCAACAUUUAAUAGUAACUUCUAACCAGGUGCUCCGCAGGGCGCAGCUUAAUACGACCACAGAGGUCGAACCCUGAACAGUUGGGGCAAGUAUGGACAAAACAUUCAAGCGUGAUACAGCUCUGAAUUUGGAUUGUGAUCAAAUUUUUGACAUUACAUGGUUUUUUUUACAGAAAACAAAUGUCAAGAUUUUACAAAUCAAUUAAAAAUUUCUUCUUCAAACUUAUUUAAAUCUAAAAUUAAAUAGUUGACACAGCAUAGGUUUCUGACACAGAAUGAAUGUGGUCUAAUGAACUUAAAAAUUUUUUUUUGCCUUUGAGCAAUUCACUAUGCUGUUGAAUAUUAAUCCUCUAAAAAAAUGUUUGAAGAAAUUUUCUUUUUAUUUAUGAAAUCUGAAAUGAGAAAAAUUUAAACCCCCCCCCCAUUUUUUUUUUUCACAUCCCCGUUUCCCUUUUUCCAAAACUGAUAUCAAUUCAAAUUUCUAAUGGAGUUUGCAACAAUAACUACUCUUUUAAAUACAUCAUAAAAUAUUAAAAUGUAAAAUAAAGUGCUUGUUAUCACUGAAUGGUAAAGAUUGGUUGGUAGUAAAAGUGAAUAUACAUUGUUUAUUGUAUAAAACAAUAAAAAAAACUUCAUCAGCAACAUUUAAUAUUGGCAAAUUUCCAAUGAAGUUAUUUACAUAAAGUUAUUGGCAAAUAAAAAUAGAAAAUGACAUCAUAGUCAUGUCUGGCAAAUUUCCAACAUAUAUUAUCAACUACUAUUCUAUACAAAGAAAGAUAACUCCAAUUUAAAAUUAAUUGCUAUUGCACAAUAUUGUGCAAUUAGAUAUUUCUUGCUAUUGUGCAAUACUGUGCAAUUGAAAAUUUCUUGCUAUUGCACAAUACUUGAUAUGGAAUCCUGAUUUGGACCAACUUGAAAACUGGGCCCAUAAUCAAAAAUCAAAGUACAUGUUUAGAUAAAGCAUAUCAAAUAAGCCCAAGAAUUUAAUUUUUGUUAAAAUCAAACUUCGUUUAAUUUUGGACCCUUUGGACCUUAAUGUAGACCAAUUUGAAAACUGGACCAAAAAUUAAGAAUCUACAUACACAGUUAGAUUUGGCAUAUCAAAGAACCCCAUUUAUUCAAUUUUUGAUGAAAUCAAACAAAGUUUAAUUUUGGACCCCCAUUUGGACCAACUUGAAAACUAGGCCAAUAAUUAAAAAUCUAAGUACAUUUUUAAAUUCAGCAUAUCAAAGAACCCCAAAGAUUCAAUUUUUGUUAAAAUCAAACUAAGUUUAAUUUUGGACCCUUUGGACCUUAAUGUAGACCAAUUUGAAAACGGGACCAAAAAUUAAGAAUAUACAUACAUAGUUAGAUUCGGCAUAUCAAAGAACCCCAAU
rnacentral:lncRNA from 1 species